rnacentral:rRNA from 1 species
UACGUAGGGUGCGAGCGUUAAUCGGAAUUACUGGGCGUAAAGCGUGCGCAGGCGGUGAUGUAAGACAGGUGUGAAAUCCCCGGGCUUAACCUGGGAACUGCAUUUGUGACUGCAUUGCUGGAGUGCGGCAGAGGGGGAUGGAAUUCCGCGUGUAGCAGUGAAAUGCGUAGAGAUGCGGAGGAACACCGAUGGCGAAGGCAGCCCCCUGGGCUGACACUGACGCUCAGGCACGAAAGCGUGGGGAGCAAACAGG